GGGAACAUACCCUUUUCUACGGAAUAGCUCUGGGAAACUGGAAUUAAUACCGUAUACGCCCUACGGGGGAAAGAUUUAUCGGGGAAGGAUUGGCCCACGUUGGAUUAGCUAGUUGGUGGGGUAAAGGCCUACCAAGGCGACGAUCCAUAGCUGGUCUGAGAGGAUGAUCAGCCACAUUGGGACUGAGACACGGCCCAAACUCCUACGGGAGGCAGCAGUGGGGAAUAUUGGACAAUGGGCGCAAGCCUGAUCCAGCCAUGCCGCGUGAGUGAUGAAGGCCUUAGGGUUGUAAAGCUCUUUCACCGAUGAAGAUAAUGACGGUAGUCGGAGAAGAAGCCCCGGCUAACUUCGUGCCAGCAGCCGCGGUAAUACGAAGGGGGCUAGCGUUGUUCGGAAUUACUGGGCGUAAAGCGCACGUAGGCGGAUAUUUAAGUCAGGGGUGAAAUCCCAGAGCUCAACUCUGGAACUGCCUUUGAUACUGGGUAUCUUGAGUAUGGAAGAGGUAAGUGGAAUUGCGAGU
rnacentral:rRNA from 1 species